AUACGGAGGAUCCGAGCGUUAUCCGGAUUUAUUGGGUUUAAAGGGUGCGCAGGCGGGGGAUUAAGUCGGCGGUGAGAUUUUGCAGGUCAACUGUAAAAGUGACUUCGAAACUGGGUUCCUUGAGUGUAGAUGGAGUAGGAGGAAUUUGUGGUGGAGCGGGGGAAUGCAUAGAUAUCACGAGGAACUCCGAUUGCGCAGGCAGCUUACUAAACUACUACUGACGCUCAGGCACGAAGGCGUGGGGAUCAAACAGGAUUAGAUACCCUGGUAGUCCACGCAGUAAACGAUGAUUACUAGCUGUUUGCGAUACAAUGUAAGCGGCUGAGCGAAAGCGUUAAGUAAUCCACCUGGGGAGUACGUUCGCAAGAAUGAAACUCAAAGGAAUUGACGGGG
rnacentral:rRNA from 1 species